ACAGAGGGUGCAAACGUUGUUCGGAAUUACUGGGCGUAAAGCGCGCGUAGGCGGCUUGUUAAGUCGGAUGUGAAAUCCCCGGGCUUAACCUGGGAACUGCAUUGGUGACUGCAUUGCUCGAGUAUGGCAGAGGGGGGUGGAAUUCCACGUGUAGCAGUGAAAUGCGUAGAGAUGUGGAGGAACACCGAUGGCGAAGGCAGCCCCCUGGGCCAAUACUGACGCUCAUGCACGAAAGCGUGGGGAGCAAACAGGA
rnacentral:rRNA from 1 species